GUUCCUAUUAAGAAGUGGAAGGGAGGUGUGGUUCCAGUCACAAGGGGCCCGGGGAGGAGUAGGAAGUGUAGUAACCCUAUUGCUUUCCACAGGCAUUUUUUCCCUUUAUAAAAGAGAUUCCUCUUUCCCUCAACCCCCUUUUUAUAAGGAUUGUGUAUAUACCGUUAAGGAAAAAGAAAUCAAGAGAAGAAAAGAGGAGAGAAAACAAAUGAGUUGUGCUAAAAGCCAAGCUGUUCUAGUAAUAAGGCUGUAAUGCUGAUAUUGAUUCAGGCACUGAACAGACAUUCCUAGCCCAUGUGGUUUGUGUAUUCCUGUCUGAGUGGGUGGUCUGCUCUGGGUGGAGAGUGAAUGAUGCUAAAGGCAGCAAGAUGGCUUAGUUUCUGAGCAGCAGAGAGGAACUCCAGGGCUAAGCUGCCAUCUUCCAAAGAUCCUCCAGGAUAAAGUAGCCUUCAUCUUGGUUGUGAGAAAAGUUUUUUGUUAUGGGAAUCUUACCUUCCCAUGAAGCAAAUUGGAAAAGUUGGGAAAACAACUAUUGGAAAGCUUUUGUUUACAUUCUGCUGAUGAGGCAGGCAUGUCUUCUUUCAACCCAAAGCCUUCUUUCCCUCUUUUUUCUCGUUUAUCCACUUUUCUCAUUCAGCAUUUCCUUUUUCUACAUUGUCUUGCGAUACACUUGAUCACUGGUGUCUGAAUACAUGAAUGGUCUCCACUAAAAAGCAGCAUGUUUGAAGUGAUAGGAGGAUGCUGGAGAUUUUGUCUCCGUGAUGGUCCACAUAUUUACAUUUUUCCCCAGUUGCUAAUUAAAGUGAAACCUCAAAUUGCACUCCCACCUUGCAACUUCCACUUCAAGACAUUAAUUGACUUAAUUUAAGUGGUAGACUGCCUGGGAGAGAAGUGCUUAACCAUUUCCCCACCUGCAACUUCUUCCUUCCCUGACCCUUCCCAGCUGGGAUUUGGCCUAUGGUUCCAUUAAAGUAAAGGUAAAGUUGUGCCGUUGCUCUGUUGGCACCCACAGAACCCUGUGGUUUUCUUUGGUAGAAUACGGGAGGGGUUACCAUUGCCAUUUCCCGCCCAGUAUGAGAUGAUACCUUUCAGCAUUUUCUUAUAUUGCUGUUGCCCGAUAUAGGUGUUUCCCAUAGUCUGGGAAACAUACCAGCGGGGAUUUGAACUAUUGCAGAUAUUUUAAUAUAAAAGUUAUCCUUCAUGGAUCAGGUGAGAGAUCCAGCUUUUGUGGAUUCUGCCAUUUUUUAAAGUGUCAUGGUGUGUAACCUGCUAGCCACAGCAGUGAUGAAGACACCUGUCCAGAUGGCUUGCAUCAGAUGGGCAUGACACAGUGAAGAGGAGCAAGGACUUGACAGAUGAUCAGGAGCGGACUAGCAAAAGGAUGCCAGACCACCUGGAAACCCCCAGAGGACACCCCGGACGAUGUGCCACCUCCCACCCACAAGUUGAGACCGGGUUCCCCCUCUCUCCUGGCUUGGACACUAUCCUGGACUCUGUCCAGAUUCACAUACGCGUGGAACCGAAGGAGAACUUGCAUACAUUGGUGAUGCCUUGCAGCUCGCAACUAACUCAGAUGGACACUUAUUUUCUUAUGGCCGUCUGGACCUGCAUGUAUGUAUGUACGUAUGUAUGUAACCUCCCGCCUCGGGAACGUGAUGUAUAACAUAUCUGCAUGCUAAACGAACCAUGCCAGCACAGUGGCUGACCAUGCCAGGAACUCCUGCUGACGACACCCCUGGAGGACCCCCUGGACCUGGAGAAGACCCUCCGCCGUCAAGGACCCACGCCCAGAGGCUGCAAUUGGCAGAAGAAGACUGGCACGGCCCUGCCGGCCACACGCAAGGUGAGGCUGGGAUCUGGCCCUCCCUUGGACCUUUUGGACAUUCCUCUCACUGAACUCUUUUAAUCGGACUCUACCCAAACCCGUAGGAACUUGCGUACAGUGCUAUAUUCUCUCUACCAUUGCAACCACACAUUCGUUAGUAUGCGGCCGUGUUUUAUCGGGAAAUUCUAUUCACUGUUGCUUUUGUAAACCAUAUGUUAAACAUUCUCUAAUAAAAGUCAAUCUGCUCUG